rnacentral:sRNA from 1 species
UGUAUCUGAAGCCUGACGAGGAUGAGAACCUCCGGGGGCAAGAGGUUCGACUCGAGCGCAGCGAGAGAACGUUGCGUCAGCAACGGCCCGC